rnacentral:rRNA from 1 species
GGAGUUAGCCGGUGCUUCUUCUGUGAGUGAUGUCCUUCCUGCCGGUUAUUGACCCGCAGGCCUUCUUCCUCACUGAAAGUGCUUUACAACCCGAAGGCCUUCUUCACACACGCGGCAUGGCUGGAUCAGGGUUGCCCCCAUUGUCCAAUAUUCCCCACUGCUGCCUCCCGUAGGAGUCUGGGCCGUGUCUCAGUCCCAGUGUGGCUGAUCAUCCUCUCAGACCAGCUACGGAUCGUCGCCUUGGUGAGCCGUUACCUCACCAACCAGCUAAUCCGACAUAGGCUCAUCCGAUAGCGCGAGGCCCGAAGGUCCCCCGCUUUCCCCCGUAGGGCGUAUGCGGUAUUAGCCUGGGUUUCCCCCAGGUUAUCCCCCACUACCGGGCAGAUUCCUAUGCAUUACUCACCCGUCCGCCGCUCGCCACCAGGGAGCAAGCUCCCCGUGCUGCCGCUCGACUUGCAUGUGUUAGGUCCGUCGCCGCCACGCGUUCUAACUACUGAGCCGACGAACUACAAACUACUGA